AAUGGAUAGAGAUGCAUAUUCAGAAUUUCUUUCUCUCUUACCCCACAAAAAGCAAGCCUAUCUUGACUUUACAAAUUUCCAAGAAAUGACCGAAUAAUUGCACUGUCACUAGAAUCUCUGCAAAAUUACACUGUAGUCUUUGGUUGAAUAUGAAUGCAUGUGAUUCCAAGUCAAGCUGAGUUGCAUAUUUUACAUCAAACUUUAAUUCAAAACAAGCGUGUCAUUUGUGGGGGAAAGAUGAUGACAGGUCAUUUCAGUGCAAUUAGGUAGCAGAGCAGACAGAGAGAUUCAUUACAUUUUCUCUUCUUUUCUUCUUCCUGCAAUGCCAAUUAAGGUUCUUCUUGGACGAGGUUUUUGAAUAGAACUUCGACAGGCAAGGCGAGAGGUGUGAUUGUGAAGCGAUCUCGUACUUAAAGAUGAACAAGGAUAAUCAAUUUGAACAUCGUUUUUCUGCAAGCCCUUUAAUGAGCAGUUCAUUUGAAAACACUACUCCAGAAAGGGUUUCUUCAUUGUCUGAUCAGUCCAUCCAAAGUCCUUCCUAUUCUGAGGACUCUAAUCACUUUAGAUCAAGUAUAUAUUAAUUUCAUAUCGACUAAUCUCUUUCGUUGAGGGUAUAUAUGGAGCUCGGAAGAAUAACCGAAGUUUCUUUGAAUUGCAGAUAAGGAGGAAGAGACUGCGAAAGUGAGAAAUCACAAGAAGAAGUUAGAAAGGAAGGCCAAUAGCUUUGCCUACAGAAUUCGCGAGCACGGUAAGUUUUAUCUGAUAAUUUAGCUUAAACCACCGAAAAUUUUUGCAAGAAAUAGACUACUUUGGAGAGAGAGAGAGAGAGCAUUAUAAACGAGGACUUCAAUAAUUCUAGUUGAAGAAGAAAAACGAAGAUGUCCAUUGUUAAGAAAAUCAUGUUUAGAUUGAAAGAGCUUUCGGUUAUCUUUAAUCGCGCAAAGUAUCUGUUAAGGGAACCCCACAAAGCGUUUUAAGAUCCAACUAGCAAUUUGAUUGCUUAAGACUCAAACGAACACACAGAUUUCAAGAUUGGUGUUCUCAAGCUUGGGUAGAAUGACUUUCUAAUAUAACAUUUUUGAAAGGGAAAAAGCUUCAUAUAGUGCAGUGCAUGGUCUUAUUUGUGGAUGCUGAAUUCUGUUGUGUUUAAAAAUGAGUAUUUCUUUUGUACAUGGUCUGUGAAUUUGCAGUGAGGCUGGGGCCUAAAUUUUCUGAAACAGUGAAGGGGAAGUUGAGUGUUGGGGCCAAAAUAAUCAAGAAAGGUGGUAGAGAAAACAUUUUCAAGGACAUUUUUGGUGUCAUGAAUGGAGAGAAGCUAUUGAAGGCAUCUCAGUGCUAUUUAUCAACCUCAGCCGGGCCAAUUGCUGGGAUUCUGUUUAUCUCUACAGAAAAGGUUGCAUUCUGCAGUGAAAGAUCCAUUACUGUCCAAUCCUGUUCUGGAGCCCUUAUCAGAACUCUUUACAAGGUAAAUAACAUCAAGAUUCAAUUGUUAUCUAGGCGAGUGUCAUUUACAGAAUGAACUUUUCAAGGAUUUCGUUACCAGAUCUACUUAAAACUCCAUUAUUGACCAUCUGAAUCAUGAAUUUUUCAUGUGGUGCAUAAUAAUUCUCAUUGCUGCAGGUUUCUAUUCCCGUGAAGAAGAUAAAAGGAGCUAAACAAAGUGAGAAUGCGAACAAUCCAACACAGAAGUACAUAGAAAUAAUGACUGAAGACAAUUUUGAAUUUUGGUUUAUGGGAUUUGUACGGUAUGAGAAAGCCUUUUUGAAUCUCCAAAAGGCCAUUUCUUUAUGCAAAUAGAUUAGUCACGCGACGGAUUUGAACUUUGAAGAAAGCAAAAUGGAAAUCUCCUUUUAUUCACCGUCGUUUGAAUUUGAGAGACUAAAAGUUUGGGAACUUUGUACAAAAAAUUUCUAUUAAGUCCAGUAGAAUCAAUACAGUAGUUUACGCAAAUUUGUGUUUAAAAAUUUACGUCAAUCAUGUGUUAUUUGUUAUAGUACAAUAUGUUCGAGGAAGUUAUGUCUUUGGGAUUGCUUUGGCAUUGCUGUACUGUUCCAAUGUUCUUGUUCAAUGAUUUUGUCAAGGAAAGAAGAGGAGAAAAACCAUUCCAUCUCAAGAAGAUAUCUGGAUGCUUUUAACCUUCACCUGACAACAAAGAGGUGAGUGCAAAGGGAUAAACUUUUGCAAGAAAUUUCAAUUCACUGCAUAUAUCAAGGGUUCUCAAACACAAAAACCCGAAAAAACUAGCAAUCAAAAGCUUCCAGUUGGUCUUGGAUCAUGGCGAUUAUUUGCGACAGUGCCCGAAUAAUCUGUCUUCUCAAUAUCCAUUCUUGUACAAAUGAUUCAUCCUCCUCCAAGACCCCUACAACCUACAUAGUAGAAAAUCAUAGCAAGUAAUUCCUUCUUCUUAUACAUCUAAAAACUUCAUUUAAUUUUAAAUUUUACAGGGAAACAAAGAAAUGGACCUAAAUCUGAUAGUUGGAAUCUUGGUCCCAAGGUUUUAUGUAAUUGCCUUGAAGCUUCCCGUAGUCAAAAAAAUGGAAACACGAGAGAAAUGUAUUAUGAGGUUUAAACGGUUCCAAUAUGGCCAUCAUCGUGAGGUAGGAAGGAG
rnacentral:lncRNA from 1 species